rnacentral:lncRNA from 1 species
GAAAGGAGACAGAGAAAGGUGACAGCCAAAUGCACGUGGGAGCUGGGAACAGAGGAGGGCACUGGGAGGGGCCUGCCUGCCGUCCAGCUCUCGAGACCACGGCGAGAUUCAGAAGGGAAUUGGGCCAUUCCUUCUCCAAAGCAGAACGUACUGCAGCUGUGAGAGUUCUAGGAGAAAAUUCAGAUGAACUUUCAAAUCAGCUUCUCAAGUGUCAACAUCCUGUUGCGAUUUUCAUUGAUAUUGAACUGAAUUUA